CCACUGGCUAAAUCUUCUGCUCUGAAGUUUAAAGGCAGGCACCUAUUUCUUGCUCUGGCCAUGCUUUUAGAUUUUCUUCUUUCAAAACGUUCUUCAUCUGAGGAAGUGGUAUCACUGCUGUGAAUGGCAUGCUUCUUUCUCCUGAUAUGGCUUCUUCUUGCAGGAGAUCUGUGAAUAUCAAACAGUGUAUUUUCUCUCUUUUUUUGGUGAGCUGGCACUAUUGGAGGGGCCUGAUACCUUUCAACAGUUUUUCUCUGUCUUAGAUUAUAUGGUCGAUCAUUUUCUUCCCCUUCAGCUUCUUCUGCUUCUAUAUCUCCAUCCUCUUCCUGAGACUCUUCUUCUUCACCUUCUGUGGACACUUCAUGGUGGUUCUGAAUCCCAUAGCUAUUCCUCCUCAGCGAUUUCCUUCUUCUUUUCACUCGUGAAUACAUAUCCAUGUUCUCAAACUCCGUAUCCGUCCACAUUCGCAGCCGUUCUACUUCCCCAGACCUCCUAUUUCUCCUGAUGUUAAUAUUAUCCAUUUCCUGUAGGACAGCUUCGGCAGUACUGUUGACUAGCUGAUCAAACAAUAAACUCUGAUUCAAAGUUUCAAAUCUGUUUUUCCUGGAC
rnacentral:lncRNA from 1 species